rnacentral:lncRNA from 1 species
ACAAUAUAUUUGACAGUAAAUGAAUCCAACUUUAUGUUAAUGGUUAAUCUGUGAAUCAGUUUGUACAGAUUUUCUGCUGUUUUGCAUUUUCAAAUCAGAUGACCAAAUAUAAUCAGUUCUUGUUGCAGUAGAAGCAAUUUAUAUCAUGUAAUGUAACCAUAGUUUUCAUAGUGUGUGUCAGAGAGAAAGCAUUUGAAAUUUGUCAGCCAUUUUUCAACACAGUAUGCCAUGUGAUACUGUAAACAAUGGCCUUACCAUAGUAGAGACUGGCAAAUUACAGUAUGUUACCCUUCAUCAGAAAAUAUCAACUAGCACAGACAUACAGUGAGAACUUUGUCAAGGAAACCAUUACUGAACAUCUGCUGGCUGUUUAGCAUAGUAACACAGUAGACAGCAAAUGGCAUUAAUGUAUAUAUUAUUAAUGCUAACAAAAUACUGUAUUGGCAACAUAAUCUGUUCUACUCUCAAAAUAAACACUUUGGACUUUGUAUCAAGUCAAAUGGAAAGUGUUUAAUUUUUUAAUUUUAAUUUUAAAUCAUACAAUUUGGUUUCUGUGAUUGCUGAUAGUUUUGACCGGGAUAUUGUUAUCCAGUCAUUUAGAGUGCAUUAUGAAUCAGCUGUGCAAGUAUAUUAUAAGUUAUGUAUAAGUUAUAUAUUAUGUUUAUACCUCAUGUUCUUUUUACUUCAGAGAGUGGACUUUGGUGGAUAGCUCUCAUCGUGCUCUUACUAAUAUUGAUACUGGCCCUCCCUAUUGUUUUUGUUCUCCUGUAUAAGUUAUUGCCAAUGUUUCAUGACAGCGUUUACACAAAUUUUAAAGACAAACCAUGUAUUGGAGGGUUUUUGAACCUGCUGGAUGGAAAGAAGAAUAGUAUGUCAUUUUUUCAUUCAUGUAUUUAUAAUUUGCCCUAAAGCAUUUUAAAAUAUUAUAUUUCAAGCAUGCUCUUAAAUUAGUUGCUAAAUGUUAAUUUUGUGUAACUAGACCUAGUUAUCUUGAACGUAUGUUCAUCAUUUCUUCUGAAAGAUUGUUUGUUAUUUUCCGUUCUGCCCUGUGCAAGAUUUCUUUAAAAAAAUAAAAAAGGAAAUCAUGCAUACUAUGCCGAAUUUCAGUGUAUUAAAAAGUGUGUUACACUUACUACUGUAAUAGUGACAUAAAAUGAACAAAGGGAGAGAUUUCUAACAUUAACUGCUUUUCAUAUUUUUUUUUAGGCCAUUACAUUUUGUAAUUUUAUUAGUAGUAAUUUAUUCUGUACCAGUGUACAUGAAAUUGAUAAACUCUAUCUUCUUCUUUUCUCAUAAUAGGUGAAUAUAAACCACCUGAGGCGGGACAAGGAAAAAGUACCGGUAAGAAAAAUAAAUCUGUUACAAGAAAUCUAGAAAUAUCUGAAACAUGUUCUCAGUGACAUUAACACUUUUACUCUGUACCAGUGUACAUGAAAUUGAUAAACUCUAUCUCCUUUCUUCUUUUCUCGUAUUUUAACAUAAGUACUGAGAUGUUUAUAAUGCUUUACUCUGCAUUCUCUGAACAUGUGUUCAUUGACACUGUAGUUAUAAUCUUUUUUGUUUAUUAUUGUGAUUUCAAGAAAUGACCGUGAAUGGAGAAGAUAAUUAAACUCUGAAUUCAGCUGACACACAAAAAUGUUGUGGUAGGUAAGUUCAUACUAUGUCGUGUUUAGUUUCAGUACCAGUAAUUUGAUCAAGAUCAAGAAAUUCUCUUUGCUGCUCAGGUCAGCAUGAUGAUAGUUCCUGUGUUGAUGCUCCAAAUACAAAUUCUCAUGGCUUCUUUUACUUUCUAGAAAAAAAAUAGCUCUGCUUCUGUAAAAUAUCUGCAUGGUUUGGUCAAGAAACAAACUUCUACAUGAGGACUUUUCAUCAUCUCACCUUUUGCAAGAACAGUCUCUUUUCUUUUUUUUCACAGACAUGAGCGGUAAACUUUGUAUGAAUGUGGAAUUAUAAUUUUUUUUAAAAGCCUAGUUUUUCUUUUCAAUAUUAUUCCCCUGCGUUUAAUUGCUGCACUGUGUCCACACUGCGGGAUUUCUCUUUUUAUCCAGUUAUCCACACUGUUUGCUUAUAAUGAGUUGUUUUUGGCAAUCUGUAUUAUCUGCAUUGAUUGCUUUAGUGAUGAUAUAGACUUGGUGUGGCAUCUUCACCUUAAAAGUGUCAUUCAGAAGCAUGCCGGUGGUAUGACAGAAGCUUACUGGUACGUACCAGCUUCCUCCUUUGAUCUGUGAUGACACUGGUGUCCACCAGAAAGAGAAACAAACUAAAUAUGUUCAUUGACGGUGGUCACUUCAGGCG